UGACGAGCGGCGGACGGGUGAGUAAUGUCUGGGAAACUGCCUGAUGGAGGGGGAUAACUACUGGAAACGGUAGCUAAUACCGCAUAAUGUCGCAAGACCAAAGUGGGGGACCUUCGGGCCUCAUGCCAUCAGAUGUGCCCAGAUGGGAUUAGCUAGUAGGUGGGGUAACGGCUCACCUAGGCGACGAUCCCUAGCUGGUCUGAGAGGAUGACCAGCCACACUGGAACUGAGACACGGUCCAGACUCCUACGGGAGGCAGCAGUGGGGAAUAUUGCACAAUGGGCGCAAGCCUGAUGCAGCCAUGCCGCGUGUAUGAAGAAGGCCUUCGGGUUGUAAAGUACUUUCAGCGGGGAGGAAGGCGAUAAGGUUAAUAACCUUGUCGAUUGACGUUACCCGCAGAAGAAGCACCGGCUAACUCCGUGCCAGCAGCCGCGGUAAUACGGAGGGUGCAAGCGUUAAUCGGAAUUACUGGGCGUAAAGCGCACGCAGGCGGUCUGUCAAGUCGGAUGUGAAAUCCCCGGGCUCAACCUGGGAACUGCAUUCGAAACUGGCAGGCUAGAGUCUUGUAGAGGGGGGUAGAAUUCCAGGUGUAGCGGUGAAAUGCGUAGAGAUCUGGAGGAAUACCGGUGGCGAAGGCGGCCCCCUGGACAAAGACUGACGCUCAGGUGCGAAAGCGUGGGGAGCAAACAGGAUUAGAUACCCUGGUAGUCCACGCCGUAAACGAUGUCGAUUUGGAGGUUGUGCCCUUGAGGCGUGGCUUCCGGAGCUAACGCGUUAAAUCGACCGCCUGGGGAGUACGGCCGCAAGGUUAAAACUCAAAUGAAUUGACGGGGGCCCGCACAAGCGGUGGAGCAUGUGGUUUAAUUCGAUGCAACGCGAAGAACCUUACCUGGUCUUGACAUCCACAGAACUUAGCAGAGAUGCUUUGGUGCCUUCGGGAACUGUGAGACAGGUGCUGCAUGGCUGUCGUCAGCUCGUGUUGUGAAAUGUUGGGUUAAGUCCCG
rnacentral:rRNA from 1 species